GAGGGUGUAGUUCAGUGGUAGAACACCUGCCUAGCAUGCAUGAGGCCCUGGGUUAGAUCCCCACUACCACA
rfam:Ictidomys tridecemlineatus contig054439, whole genome shotgun sequence.